AUAGCUAUUGAGCAUCUGCUCUCUGCCUGCCUGGGGCCAAGGGCCAGGCAGAUGUCGAGCAGACCUUCAGUGCUGCCCUUCCAGAUGGCCAAGGCAGGUGCACCUGUCUAUGGGUUGCAACCAGUCAUGCCUUCUCAGAGGGCAAUGCGGAUGUGGAGGUGGACCAGCUAGGCUACCUGCUGCCAUGGGCUUCCUGAAUGAGCCAGAUGCACCAAGAAGCAGAGAGAUUUAAACAAAUGCUUGCCAGAUACACAGCAGACAGUAUGCCAGCAAUGAGGGCCAGCGGGACUCGAGGAAGAGCCCACAGCUUGAUGCAGCUCCGUCCUCUCUCCCUUCUCAGGGCCGGUGGCUCUGGACAGGUCACUUGUCCUCUCCUGAGCCCUCCCUUCAUAAAACGGGGAGAACAAUGCCUGCUCCACCAAGUUGGUGAGCAAUAGGAAGGGUGUGGGCCCAUUACUCGGCUUUGGCAGAACUCCACGAGUACCAGCUGUGAUUGGCAGCCAUCGCGGUGCUGUCAAACAAGGCAGAGAGAGAAUUUUAAUAUGCAGUGUACAUGUGAGCACUACAUAUUUCCACAGAUGCCUGUCUAAUGAGCUCUUCCUAAUACUGGUAUUGGAAAACAGGUUUAUAUUACGGCUGUGAUUAAAAUAUACAUGGACAUACAAUAAAAUUUUUUUAAAGUUU